rnacentral:rRNA from 1 species
UAAUACAUGCAAGUCGAACGCGUCUCCGUUAAUGAUUUUAGGUGCUUGCACUUGAAAGAUUUAACAUUGAGACGAGUGGCGAACUGGUGAGUAACACGUGGGUAACCUGCCCUUGAAGUAGGGGAUAACACUUGGAAACAGGUGCUAAUACCGUAUAACAACCAAAACCACCUGGUUUUGGUUUAAAAGACGGCUUCGGCUGUCACUUUAGGAUGGACCCGCGGCGUAUUAGCUUGUUGGUAAGGUAACGGCUUACCAAGGCGAUGAUACGUAGCCGACCUGAGAGGGUAAUCGGCCACAUUGGGACUGAGACACGGCCCAAACUCCUACGGGAGGCAGCAGUAGGGAAUCUUCCACAAUGGACGAAAGUCUGAUGGAGCAACGCCGCGUGAGUGAUGAAGGGUUUCGGCUCGUAAAACUCUGUUGUUGGAGAAGAACAGGUGUCAGAGUAACUGUUGACAUCUUGACGGUAUCCAACCAGAAAGCCACGGCUAACUACGUGCCAGCAGCCGCGGUAAUACGUAGGUGGCAAGCGUUGUCCGGAUUUAUUGGGCGUAAAGCGAGCGCAGGCGGUUUUUUAGGUCUGAUGUGAAAGCCUUCGGCUUAACCGGAGAAGUGCAUCGGAAACCGGGAGACUUGAGUGCAGAAGAGGACAGUGGAACUCCAUGUGUAGCGGUGAAAUGCGUAGAUAUAUGGAAGAACACCAGUGGCGAAGGCGGCUGUCUGGUCUGUAACUGACGCUGAGGCUCGAAAGCAUG